CAGAAACCUAUUUUAUUUCGGUUAGGUAUAUAUAUAUAUAUAUGUUUAUUGAAAUAAAAUAAAAAAUAAAAUUAAAAUUUAGUUUGGAAAAUUAGAUAUAAUUUUUUAUUAUAUAUGAAUUUUUAUUAAAGAGUUUUUUAUAGUAUUUAAAAUUAAUUUUUAAUGGAAAUUAGAGUUAGAAAUAAUUAAUAGUUUUAACAAAAUUUGUGCCAGCAGUUGCGGUUAUACAAAUAAUAUAAUUUAAUUUUAUUGAUAGUAAUUAAUUUGAAUUUUAAUUUUAUGAAAUAAUUUAUUAGGUGAAAUUUUAAAUUUUUUUUAUAAAUUAUAUUUAUUUAAUGAUUUUAAAAAAUUUAAAAUAAAGACUAGGAUUAGAUACCCUAUUAUUUUGAAUGUAAUAAUUUAUAUUGAAUUAUUAAUAGUUAUGUUCUUUAAAUUUAAAAAUUUUGGCGGUAUUUUAGUCUUUUCAGAGGAACCUGUUUUAUAAGUGAUAGUCCACGAUUAAAUAAACUUUUUUUAAAAAAUUUACAUAUCGUCGUAAUAAAAUAUUUUCAAAGAAUUAAAAUAUUUAAAAUUUUUUAUUAAAAAAGUAAUCAGAUCAAGGUGUAGUUUAUAAAAAAGAUUUAAUGGGUUACAAUAAAUUUAUUUUAGGAUAUUAGUUAGUAAAGUUGAUUAAAUGUGGAUUUGAUAGUAAUUAUAAUUAUUUUAUUAUUAUGAUUUUAGCUCUAAAAUAUGUACAUAUCGCCCGUCGCUUUCAUUAUAAUAUGAAAUAAGUCGUAACAAAGUAGGUUUACUGGAAAGUGAAUCUAGAUU
rnacentral:ncRNA from 1 species